GUUUGAACUUCAUUCAAAAGACGAGGUUACAGAUGAUGUCCUUACUAUUUACAGACGAGAGAAGGAGAAACUCAUCAAAUAUUUUGAUAAGCUCUCUUGUCUCUUGAGUUUAUCAAUUGAAUUGUGGUCAUCGAAUGACAAAAUGAUGACCUACUGUUGCUUCACCGUGCACUUCAUUGACGAUGGAUGGCAGCUGAAGAAGAAGAUUCUUGCUUUCAGGAACUUACGGUACAACUAUGACAUGGGGGCUGUACAUGAAGUCUUUAAACAUGUGCUUACAGAGUGGAGCAUCAACAAGAACGUUCGCUUCAUAUUCCUGGAUAUAACUCCUCCAAAGGAUCACAUGAUUGGAGAAUUAAGAAGUAAGGUUUCUGAUCAAGCCCCACCUAUCCAUCGACAUCUUUUCUGUGUUCCUAGUUAUGCCCAAAUUCUCGGUCUCCUUGUCCAAGAUGGAUUUUCUGAGAUAAGGAGUGUGCUUUAUAAGAUAAGAGAAUGUAUAGAGUACGUCAAAGGAAGCUCACUUAUAAGGCAGAAGUUCCAGGAGGCAAUUAAUAAUGGGAGUUUGCAGGACAGGGAAAUGCCUACUCUAGAUGUUCCCGCGAGAUGGGACACCACCUUUCUUAUGCUGAAGAGUUCAUUGGAAUUUAUAACAGCUUUUAAUCACCUAGAGCAAUUGGAUGAUGCUUUCAAAGUGAAUCCAUCUGCGGAAGAAUGGAACAAAGCAACAGCCGUAUUUGAGUGCUUGAAAGAGUUCUACAAGUCAACAUGCAAUUUUCCGACAAGCAGAGAUGAUUAUUUCCUCAGUGUUCGUGAUGUUUAUAAGAAUUUGCAUGGCUGGAAACAGAGCGAUUAUGUAUAUGUUCGCGCUAUGGCAAAUAGAAUGAAGGGAAAAUUUGACGAGUAUUGGGGAGAAGCUAGCUUGGCUUUGGGAAUCUCAGCAGUUCUUGACCCCAGCUAUAAAUUGGACAUUAUUGAGUAUGGCUACCGGCAGAUAUACGGCAGUGAUGCUUACUUGCGCUACUACCAGAAAUUCCUUGACAAUCUUAUAUGUGAAUACAAUAAAUAUGCAAAGGACUUCCGCAGUCAGGGACCAUCUUCUUCUGCCAUGGCGGACGUGAGUCGUUGUACAUCAUCUUCUAAUAGUUUCAAAGAGUGGCGCAAGGGUAAGUAUGAACGCAAUACGGUGCACUCACAAUGGAAUGAACUUGUUCAGUAUCUAGAAAAGCGUCCGGAGAACUUGGAUAAGGAUGGUAACGUAUUAGCUUGGUGGCUAGACAACGCUCAAAAUUUUCCAAUACUGGGAAAAAUGGCUCGUGAUUUCUUAGCAAUUCCAGUAUCAACUGUCAUUUCCAAGUCAUCAGAGGUUAUGAAAAUGGCAUCAGUCCAUGAUGGUGUUCGUCCUGAGAUAGCUGAGGCUUUGAUAUGUGGAAAGGAUUGGUGGUUGGACAGCCCUAACUGCAACAAUUGAUCCAUGUUUGGAUCCUCACUGGUAGUUGCUAGUACUGUGAAAUAAGUUUUUCCUAGGGUCAACCAGGCUGAUCAUAUCUGACUUGGAUGCUGUAGAAGAAUACUAGACAUAAGAUAAGACUUAUUAUUUGCUUAAUUUUAUCAAGGAUUUGAAAAUAAAAAAACUCUGAAUAUAUAAAAAAUGAUUUGAAACUACUUUUGAGUGUGUUCGGCUUGAAAAAAAUAUAAAAUUGAUAUUUUGUUAGUGUUAUUUGAUGGUGUUAAUAUUCUAUAUUAAAAAUAAAAAAAAUCUGGAAAAAUUUAUUUUCAUAUAUUUUUAAUAAAAAAUUAAUUUUAAAAACCAUCAUAUAUCAUAAUACUAAGUAGGAAGGUUGUUUUUGUUACAAAAAUGUAUUAUUGUAAAACCCACUACACCACAGUUUUUGGCCCAAACCAUUAUUGUAAAAUGUAUUAUUAAAUUAAUAUGUUAAAAUGUAUUAUUAUGCAAGUAGGGUUUUAUAUCAAAUUAGAUAGGAAUUUGAUAUGCAAUCGUCAAUCAGUCCUAAUAACCACCAGUAUCACACCGAAAUUGUCAAAACACUCAGACUGUCUCCGUCAAAACCGGGAACGGGCUCGGCAGUUUGGGGGCACAAAUUUGGAAUUGAGGCAAUUGACGUGCAAUAGUCCGGAUGAUAUUGUCAAUUGUAUUUCCGAACUGAGAAGGAAAAGGGAGGAUGAGAUUGUGUGGUUGUGAAUUGGAAUUUUAAAUUUAUCUUUUUAAUUGUAUUUGUACUGUCUCUUUUUUUUUUUAAAAAAAAAAUCGAAUCUGGGUUGUGCUCGUGCUUUCUAUAUUAGUUACUAUGAAGUUUGUUUAUUUUGCUGCUGUAACCCAUAAUCGAAUCUGGGUUGUGCUUAGAAUUACGAAAUAUUUCAUCUUUCACUCUAA